rnacentral:misc_RNA from 1 species
AUGCGAUAAGUAGUGUGAAUUGCAGAAUUCAGUGAAUCAUCGAAUCUUUGAACGCACAUUGCGCCCCUUGGUAUUCCAUGGGGCAUGCCUGUUCGAGCGUCAUUUGUACCUUCAAGCUCUGCUUGGUGUUGGGUGUUUGUCUCGCCUCUGCGCGUAGACUCGCCUCAAAACAAUUGGCAGCCGGCGUAUUGAUUUCGGAGCGCAGUACAUCUCGCGCUUUGCACUCAUAACGACGACGUCCAAAAGUACAUUUUUACACUCUUGACCUCGGAUCAGGUAGGGAUACCCGCUGAACUUAA